UGCAAGUCGAACGAUGAAAUCCUCUGCUUGCAGAGGAUGGAUUAGUGGCGAACGGGUGAGUAACACGUGGGUAACCUGCCCAUAAGAGGGGGAUAACAUUCGGAAACGGAUGCUAAUACCGCAUAGGUCUUUGAGACGCCUGUCUCUUAGAUGAAAGGUGGCUUCGGCUGCCGCUUAUGGAUGGACCCGCGGCGUAUUAGCUAGUUGGUGAGGUAAUGGCUCACCAAGGCUGUGAUACGUAGCCGACCUGAGAGGGUGAUCGGCCACACUGGGACUGAGACACGGCCCAGACUCCUACGGGAGGCAGCAGUAGGGAAUCUUCCACAAUGGGUGAAAACCUGAUGGAGCAAUACCGCGUGAGUGAAGAAGGUCUUCGGAUCGUAAAGCUCUGUUGUUAGAGAAGAACAAGUCGGGUAGUAACUGCCCCGACCUUGACGGUAUCUAACCAGAAAGUCACGGCUAACUACGUGCCAGCAGCCGCGGUAAUACGUAGGUGACAAGCGUUGUCCGGAUUUAUUGGGCGUAAAGCGAGCGCAGGCGGUCUUUUAAGUCUGAUGUGAAAGCCCACGGCUCAACCGUGGAGGGUCAUUGGAAACUGGAAGACUUGAAUGCAGAAGAGGAAAGUGGAAUUCCAUGUGUAGCGGUGAAAUGCGUAGAUAUAUGGAGGAACACCAGUGGCGAAGGCGACUUUCUGGUCUGUAAUUGACGCUGAGGCUCGAAAGCGUGGGGAGCGAACAGGAUUAGAUACCCUGGUAGUCCACGCCGUAAACGAUGAGUGCUAAGUGUUGGAGGGUUUCCGCCCUUCAGUGCUGGAGCUAACGCAUUAAGCACUCCGCCUGGGGAGUACGGCCGCAA
rnacentral:rRNA from 1 species